AGCGAACGCUGGCGGCAGGCCUAACACAUGCAAGUCGAACGGACCCUUCGGGGUUAGUGGCGCACGGGUGAGUAACACGUGGGAAUAUGCCCUUAGGUACGGGACAACAGCUGGAAACGGCUGCUAAUACCGUAUGAUAUCGAGAGAUCAAAGAUUUAUCGCCUAAGGAUUAGCCCGCGUUAGAUUAGGUAGUUGGUGGGGUAAGAGCCUACCAAGCCUACGAUCUAUAGCUGGUCUCAGAGGAUGAUCAGUCACACUGGAACUGAGACACGGUCCAGACUCCUACGGGAGGCAGCAGUGAGGAAUAUUGGACAAUGGGCGAAAGCCUGAUCCAGCCAUGCCGCGUGAAUGAUGAAGGCCUUAGGGUUGUAAAGUUCUUUUAGUAGUGAAGAUGAUGACGGUAACUACAGAAAAAGCCCCCGGCUAACUCCGUGCCAGCCGCCGCAGUAAAAC
rnacentral:rRNA from 1 species